UGUGACGUCUGAUUCCGUUCCCCAAAGAGCUAAAACUGUAAAGAAGUUAAAUUGAUCUGGAGACGUGGGGCUUAGCAAAAGCAAGUCAACUUUGGGCCUGUUGCUUGUUUCAAACAAUGGUGAUGCCCCGUGUGGUUAUCUAGUCAUUAGUUAACGGACACGUGAGUUGUUGACAUCUUUUUGGUAUAGUAAUUGAUGCUCCUAUGAACUUUCAUGAACACGAGCCCUCCCAACCUCUCCAGAAGUCCAAGCCAGGAGGCCGUUCAUGAAUUAUAGCUUGGGUAACAGCCUGCCAAUCCCACUGUUCACUGAAAUUCAGUACUAGAGUUUGCUGGGAUUUAUAAGGGAGGCUAGGGAAGGUUGAUCCAGGGCCCUGAUCUGUCAUGAGAAGCAUUUGUUGGUAGGUGUGCUGACCCUGAGAACCACUGCUGGAGACCAUCACUAUGGAUGUAUCACCCCAUGGGAUUCCACACCUUUCGGAAGAGGUUGUACACCAUGAAACACCUCACAUAAUCUAGCAAUUGUAAGCAUU